GACGAACCGUGCGAACGUUGUUCGGAAUCACUGGGCUUAAAGGGCGCGUAGGCGGGCUGCCAAGUCCGUGGUGAAAUCCCCCGGCUCAACCGGGGAACGGCCUCGGAUACUGGCGGCCUGGAGGCGGGUAGGGGCAAGCGGAACUGUGGGUGGAGCGGUGAAAUGCGUUGAGAUCCACAGGAACUCCGGUGGCGAAGGCGGCUUGCUGGACCCGAUCUGACGCUGAGGCGCGAAGCCAGGGGAGCGAACGGGA
rnacentral:rRNA from 1 species